CUUGUCUCACAGGGAUCAUUGAUCAUUGCCUGUGAAGAAAUAAUCUUUGUGGACAAGGUGCCUUUUUCCAUAAUUUUUUCUUAUAACCAGCCCUUCUCAUCCAAAGGCCACAAUGAAGUCGAAGAAACCUAUAGAUGACAGCUUUCACAAUCCUUCUCUUGCCUUUUCCUGUACUGACGUAUGUUAGAGAUCUGGCUGGCAGCUUCAAGACACUUGGAAGCAAGAGGGCCACUCUAUUAAGGAUCGCUGAAGUAUGCCCACAUGUCAGGUUUCUCUCAGAUGUGGUAUCAAAACAUCAUUAUGGGCCGGGCACGGUGGCUUACGCCUGUAAUCCCAGCACUUUGGGAGGCUGAGGCAGGCAUAUGAAGAGGUCAAGAGAUCGAGAUCAUCCCGGCCAACAUGAAAUAACAAGAAAGUUAGAAAGUCUUCUGCCUCCCAUCAGAAAAUGAGCUCAAGUGUUGUAUCCAUUGAAAAUGACAUCUGAUGCUAAUCAUCUCUGAGUGAACCCUACAUCUUACAGUAAAUUGCAUAUUGCAAUAAAAAGUGAUCUCUCAUGGUUCUUGAAUUAUUUUUCAUCAUGUUUAGUGCAAUACUGUAAAUCUUGAACAUCACCAUGGGACCCAUAUGAAAUGUCACUAGUGAUGCUGGAAGUGCUCCCAAGAAGCAGAGAAAAAUCAUUACAAAAAAAAGCUGACUUGCUUGAUAUGUACCGUAGAUUGAGGUCUGCAGCUGUGGUUGCCCACCAUUUCAAGAUAGAUGAAUCCAGUGUAAGGACCAUUGUGGUUGGGGGAGGACUUUGUGGAGCCAUCACUGCAGCUACGACAGCAGGCAUGAAAACCUUGAAGUUUCUGUAAAAUAUCUUUUUAUCUUAUAUUUAAAAUACAAUGUGAGUACAGAAUUGCUAUAAGAAAGGCAUACUCUAGUAAGACUUGAAGUCAUUAUAUGACAACUUAAAGCAAAAGGAAGGUGAAGGAUUUAAAGCUGGAGAAUUUAAUGUCAGCAAAGGAUGGCUUGACAUUUUUAGAAAGAGGUUUGGCUUCAAAAAAUGGAUAAG
rnacentral:lncRNA from 1 species